rnacentral:rRNA from 1 species
AUUGAACGCUGGCGGCAGGCCUAACACAUGCAAGUCGAGCGGAUGAAGGGAGCUUGCUCCUGGAUUCAGCGGCGGACGGGUGAGUAAUGCCUAGGAAUCUGCCUGGUAGUGGGGGAUAACGUCCGGAAACGGGCGCUAAUAUCGCAUAAGUCCUGAGGGAGAAAGUGGGGGAUCUUCGGACCUCACGCUAUCAGAUGAGCCUAGGUCGGAUUAGCUAGUUGGUGGGGUAAAGGCCUACCAAGGCGACGAUCCGUAACUGGUCUGAGAGGAUGAUCAGUCACACUGGAACUGAGACACGGUCCAGACUCCUACGGGAGGCAGCAGUGGGGAAUAUUGGACAAUGGGCGAAAGCCUGAUCCAGCCAUGCCGCGUGUGUGAAGAAGGUCUUCGGAUUGUAAAGCACUUUAAGUUGGGAGGAAGGGCAGUAAGUUAAUACCUUGCUGUUUUGACGUUACCAACAGAAUAAGCACCGGCUAACUUCGUG